CCACAGUCAGGUGGCUUAACACACUCACAAGGCUUCAAUUACUGUCGGCGCAGAGUGGAACGAAUUUGCUGGAGCAGAGAAGCCGGAGUGAACACCGAGGAAUGAGGCAUCCAGGGCCUGAAGUGCCCCCUGCCCCCCAUAAGUCAAUUUUGACCCCCUUCCCUCUCAGAAAAUCACGGUGACAUCUAGCCUCUAACCUGAAACACGGCUAACCGGCCACCCUGCGAGGGUCUGGAGAAAAAGCAGCCCUUGACUCAGUUCUGUGCUGGGUCCUUGAGGAGACAGAUUACUGAAGGUGACGUUUCUCCAGCACCAGCACCACGAACCGUAGCAGCCCCAGUGCCUCCUGCAGAGCUGCCGGGUCCUUGUGCAGGGACAUCAGCGACUCCUGCGCAACAGGCUCCUGGGAAAAGACUUUUUGCCAGGAAACCAGCAGUGCAGGUACAGCCACACGCACAAAUUUUCCCAUUAUCUACAUUU